rnacentral:autocatalytically_spliced_intron from 1 species
GAGAGCCCGUUGCGUUGAAAGGCGCACAGCGGGUUCGGCGAGCGGCAUGAGGAAACGGACCGAGAGUAAUCCCGACACCGCGCCUCAUGCCGACUCAAGC